UCUUCUUGACUACUACACCUUCUUUCAAAGUCGACUGUUUCCUUGCUGGAUCCUGAUUUAUCUUUACGCAUCUUGACCUUACACCAGAUAGAUCAAAGGAAACACCACUUGUCCCUCAAAUCUUUCAUGGUCCUGUUCGGGUGCCUCUUUUUCUAUGGAUAUAAGGAAAAAACAGAUACAUCCAGUUGUGUAAGCAGUUAAGCCACAGUACCCAGGUCUGGGCAAUGUGCAGCCUGGCACAUGAGCAGGGAAGAGGGACUGUGUGACUUUGUAACUCUUUCCAGUUACACACACGAUCCACAAAUAUGAAAAUUUGCUAUUUUCAACCCAAAGGGAUUCUCAAUGUGAUUUACAUUGCCAAAGGAAUGAGAAGAGAGUUCCCAACCCCAAAGGGAAUUGGGACAUGGACUGUGCGGCAGCACAGCAGAGAGACCAGCAGUAGCCCCAGAAGGAUGCUAGGCUGGGUUGAUUAGGGGACAGUAGCUCCCAUCCUGCUAAAUAGAAGAGAGUCACCACUUUACAAAGUGAUGCUUUGCUCAGUGGGCAGGAGUGAAGUCCUUGUGUGCCACAAGGAUGCCUGAAGAGAUUUCCUUGUCCCCAAAGGACAAGCCAGAGGUUGCCAGUUGAAAUCCCUGCUGGUAUGUUUCCCAGACUAUGGAGAACACCUAGAUCGGGCAGCAGCGAUAUAGGAAGAUGUUGAAAGGCAUCCUCUCAUACUGCGCAGGAGAUGGCAAUGGUCAAUCCCUCUGGUAUUCUAGCAAAGACCCCACACUUUACCUUUAAAGGACUCACAAGCACGCACACACACACACACACACACACACACACACACGACACCAUCAACAGCCAAGGUGCUGAAUAGGGACAGUUGCCCCCACCCCCGACCACGAAAUAUGAGAACUACCCACAAAGGUACCUCUUUGCCCAUUCAGCAGUGCUGAUUCUGACACAAGGGAGACCCUGGAAGGGCCACUGUGCUGGACUGAAUAGGGACAAUUGCUCUCCAGGUGCCCAGUAGAAGAGUCUCCAGGUUAAAAGGCAUCUCUUGGCCCAGUUAACAGAGGUCGAGCUAUUAGCAGAUAAAGCGGUUUUUAAUAGAAACCCCCUUAGUCUCCUCCAAAGGGAACAGAGGGAGGGCAGGACUCCCUUGAAACUCACCCCUUGAUGAAGUGGGCCACAGCACAGAAGAGAAGGCCCUUCCAUCAUGAUUACCACGACUCCCCUGGCAGGAUGCUGAAGGUGCCCAGGAGUUGCCCGUUGGGGCCCUUGAAGCCUUUCACUGCAUCUGGAAAAUAAACCUUCUGCUAACCCUGGCAGAGGAAAGCGGAGAAGAGAGGAAGCAGCCACUCUCCCAGAUCCACUCUCCCAUUCAAGGCUCGAAACUGCUUCAGAAACAGCAGAAAUGGACUCCCAGGAAACUUCUGAGCAGUUGACAGUUAAGAGGACAGUUAGGUGAUGUCAUAGAGGGUGAUGCCAGAAAGAGAACAAAGAGUGUGAAAAAACCCCAGUGAGGCUUGCUUAGAAAGCAGGCAGUUUCCCCAAAGCAUUGCGAACCACAAGUUUAAAAUCCAAAUUAAAAAAUAUUGUAUUGAUUUAUCAUAUCUUUAUACCACAUGGGGCAGUUCACAAGUUAGCCACUUGCACCUCAAACAUUUACGCAUCUGCCAUCUUGAAUUGGGAUGGAUGAUAUCACAAACUAUGCUGGCCAGGUGUCCCUAUGUGUCCCUACAACUGUACCCAAUUUCUUUCCUAUUGGUCCGGAAACACACACACACACACACACACACACACACACACACACACACACACACAGCUGGGUGAGCACAUAAGCCUACUGGAAUGUAGGCUAAAAAGGGGGAAUCUUGCAAGCUAUGAACACUAAAAGCUAAACAUUUGGUUCUAAAAAUAUGACAAGUGGCAGAUUUUUCAUUUGUUCCCAAUUUAUUUCUUACAAGGUUAAUAUAGAUAGCCAAUAGGGAUGUCUGAUACGAUUCAGGUAUAGAAUGAUUUGUACCAGAAUCUACCUGUUUCAGGCAAUUUGUAUACAAAACAAGUCACCCCUCUGCUAGCCCGGCUAAAUUCGGGUCCAAAACAAAUUGCCCAAAAUUCGGAGCUGAAUGUUUUGUUGUUUCGGACCUUCAUUUUGUGGAGAUCUCCGUGCGGUCUCCAUUUUGUGCUUUGACGUCAUUUUGAAUUUCUCACCCUUCCAAGCUUCAGAUUGGUGAACAAAAGCAUGGACUGAUUUGCUGACAAUUCCCUCCUGGUUCCAGACUGGCUCUUUUGGCUCCUGCCACUGCUGACUGACCCUGCAUUGGCCAGGGGAAGCGUCGAAGAAGGGGCAAGGGUGCUGGGAGUUCAAGGAGGGAUUUUUGAAUGGAUUUAAAGAGGCAGCAGCCACCAUUCUGCCUUUCUGCCUUGUGGGAGGAGAAAGAGAGAGAGAGAGCUUUGCUUUCCCUUGACUAUUGCCUUGCCUUCCCUUGCCAGCCUGAGCCCAGCCUGCCUUGCCACCCUGCCUGCCUGCCCCUGCUGUGUGCCAGCCUGGAGUGGAUUCUCUGCUGCAUUGCUUUUUUCUCCCUGCUGCUAAUUCAGGAAUAGAGAAGAAGAGAGAAUUCUUUUUUAACCCCCUUCCUACUUCUGAGAGAAUCACUGCCUGCCUGUGCCUGCUUUCUGUGCCAGCCACCAGCCCCAGAGCCCCUGUGGCCACUGGCCACCUGGCCAGCCACCCCUUCCCCCCCAAAAAAUUUCCAGGCUUUUGCUUCAGCCCCACCCCUUUCAAAUUUGAAGACUGACGAAGGAGAAGAAGAUUGAAGAAGAAGAGAGUAGACUCAGCAGAGAGGACAACUGGACGCAACAUGGGUGAAGUCCUAGACUUGAUCUCUCCCACCCCCCACUUCUUGAAGUGUUAUGGUGCUCGGUGUGGUGUUUGUAGAGAAGGCAUGGAUUCUGGAUUUUGCUGGAAGGAAAAUGAUUUUUAAAACCCAUUUGGGAGCCUCCGUCCCAUCCCUUCUUCGCUGCUGCUGCUGCUGCUGCUUUCCUAGCUCUUUCUCUGCCUCUCGUCCUGAGGCAGGCACAAGUAUAUCGGCUGCAAGAAAAUGAAGAGCAACCAACUUCUCCAUUCCUUGUGCAGCCCGACCAAACACUUCUACUCAAAAGCAAGCCCCAUUGAGCCCUGAGGGUUGCUCCAAGUAAAUGUGCACAGGGUUGCAGCCGUGCAGCCCCUGCCAAAUGCUUGUUUACUCAGAAGAAGAAGCCCCUCUGGAUUGAGUGCUUGCUCCCAAGUAAGUGUGUUCAGGCUUUCAGCGUGAGACACAGCAAAGUUUUACUGCUGCCUUCCAAAAGUGUCCCUCUUCCGACUGAGCAAGCGACAAGCAGCACAUUUCAGUUUUUAGCCCGUUCCCUGGGGAGCUUUUAAAUUCAAAAACCAAAGUGGGUGGGGGGAUGCAGAGAGAUAAUUUUCUCUUUCUCCUUUUGCUAAAUGACUUCAAUUAACAACGUAGCCGGCUGCUCUGAAACGGGAGACUUGCCAUUUCCAGAGAAGCCUGGCAGGCUUUCCCAUUUUUAAAUGUUAAAAAAUAAUAAUAAUAAAAAUCUCAUUCACUGUGUGAAUUCACUUGGCGGGCUGAUUUGGUGAAUGAAAAGUGGAACUUUUUUGUUAACUAAUGAACCACUUUAGACCAUCCACGGUUGGUAGAUAUUGAUAAUUAAAAGGUUUUAUUCUUUAACGUGCAUUCUCUCUUUUAGUAAACUUUAUAUUUGGGACAACAAUCCAUUAACAAUCCUCUCUUGUUUCUUAUAUCAUUUCCUUGUUGCU